CGCGGAAUUUUAGAUAAUGGAGGGAACUCUGAUCUAGCGACGCCGCGUGCAGGAAGAAGGUCUUCGGAUUGUAAACUGCUGUGGUAAGGGAAAAAUGCCAUGUAGAGUGGAAAGCUACAUGGAGGGAUGGUACCUUACUAGAGAGCCCCGGCUAACUACGUGCCAGCAGCCGCGGUAAUACGUAGGGGGCGAGCGUUACCCGGAAUCACUGGGCGUAAAGGGAGCGUAGGUGGCCUAACAUGUCAACUGUGAAAACCCGGAGCUCAACUCCGGACUUGCAGUUGAAACUGGUAGGCUUGAGGACGGAAGAGGAAGACGGAACUGCCAGUGUAGGGGUAAAAUCCUUAGAUAUUGGCAGGAACGCCGGUGACGAAGGUGGUUUUCUGGGCCGGUUCUGACACUGAUGCUCGAAAGCCAGGGGAGCGAACGG
rnacentral:rRNA from 1 species